CCCUUCUGACUGUAAUUUUCCUUUACCUACCGAAAUCCUAUGAAACGGCCCUACCCUUAUCUCCCUUCACUGACUCUCUUUUCAGACUCAGCCUGCCUGCACCCAGGACUCCACUGGAAAUCGGACUGUUCAACUCACCUGGCAGCCACUCCCAGAGCCCCUGGAACUCUGGCCCAAGGCUCUCUGACUGACUCCUUCUUGGCUUAGCGGCUGAAGACUGAUGCUGCCUGAUCGCCUCGGAAGCCCCGUAGACCAUCACGGAUGCCGAGCUUUAGGUAACUCUCACAGCGGAAGGUAUACGCCCAGAUGGCCUGAACUAACUGAAGAAUCACAAAAGAAGUGAAAAUGCCCUGCCCCACCUUAACUGAUGACAUUCCACCACAAAAGAAGUGUAAAUGGCCGGUCCUUGCCUUAAGUGAUGACAUUACCUUGUGAAAGUCCUUUUCCUGGCUCAUCCUGGCUCAAAAAACACCCCCACUGAGCACCUUGCGACCCCCACUCCUGCUCGCCAGAGAACAAACCCCCUUUGACUGUAAUUUUCCUUUACCUACCCAAAUCCUAUAAAACGGCCUUACCCUUAUCUCCCUUCGCUGACUCUCUUUUCGGACUUAGCCCGCCUGCACCCAGGUGAAAUAAACAGCCAUGUUGCUCACACAAA
rnacentral:lncRNA from 1 species